GUUGAGCUUCAGCUGGUAGACAGAUGGCCUUAAGUUCUCCUGCAAAAUGUCUUGAUAACUUGGGAAUUCAUUUUUCCUUCGAUGAUAGCAACCGUCCAGGCCCUGACGCAGCAAAGCAGCCCCAAACCAUGAUGCCCCAACCACCAUACUUCACAGUUGGGAUGUGGUUUUGAUGUUGGUGUGCUGUGCCUUUUUAUCGCCACACAUAGUCUUGUGUGUUUCUUCCAAACAACUCAACUUUGGUUUCAUCUGUCCACAGAAUAUUUUGCCAGUACUGCUGUGGAACAUCCAUGUGCUCUUGUGCAAACUGUAAACGUG